rnacentral:lncRNA from 1 species
GACGUCUAUCACAAUUAUAAGGAACCUACUCAAACCCUUAAUAACACAUGUGACAUAUCUCCAACUAUCAUUACUCAUUUAUCUACCAGAUUCCGUCUCAGAAUCCAUUUAGUUAAUGCACUUGUGUAGCUGUUGUGUCCUGAAGUCCACAUUAUUCUGGUAACUAUCAUAGAUUGCUUAUCCGAACCAAAUCAGCUUUUCCACC